UGAGCUGUGCUGGAGGAAAUACUUGAAACUGGUACCCACCAGGAGCAUCCCUUCCUCCCUGGUGCGUCUGGGGAUCUGGAGUAGUGAGCUACAGCGCUGUCACCAUCUCACACUGGACUUGACAUUCCAGAAUUGGAACUGGCUCCACAUCAGGGAGCACAGUCCAUGAGGAAAGGCUUCAAAGUACCUCUGCUCUUUGACCAGAAGACGUAAAAUUUCUAUUACCAUAUUUUACCAUUCUCUUCGUGGAAGUAGAUCGGAUCUUUAAAGAAGUUCAGUUUCUUGAAUGUUAUUGUGUGUUUACUAUGAGCGAUGUAUGGUAGGUUAUAAGGGAGACGGCGAUGAAUAAGAAAAGGACUUGGGGGUGGGAAGAGUAUAUGGAAGUAACUGAAACAUGAAGCCAAACAAACAGCAAAGUGUCAGACCUGGAAGAACUGGGUUUGAUUCUGGUCUUCACUACCUACUGUGUGAUUUUAGGGGUAUGGAGGUUCCUUCCUUGAGCAUCCUUGAGCAUCACCCUCAUAUGGAGAAUUAAAAAUAGCCCUGGGAAGGAAAGGCAGGGAGCAGAGUAUUCCAAGAUUCAUUGUUUAUGCACCACACCCAAUGGUCCAUGCAAUAUGUGCCCUCCCAUGAUACCCACCACUCGGAUAAGAGCAGUUUUUUAAAAUGAAACACCAUAACCUUGGGACAACACGGAUCUAGCAGAAAUUUCUUUUCUACAGACCAAGGAGAAGUUUGAUCAUUAUAAUGUCUACUGUUGACAAGCUCCCUUCGAUGCUUUCUGUUUCCUUACAAUAACCCCAUAGACGGUCUUAGUAUCAUCUCUAUCUUACAGGUGAUAGAGCCUAGCCAUAGAGUGACAUUUAUCUGCUCCCAUAGGGUAACAACCUCUUAAAUCAGAUAAUCAAAGGGAAUAAGGAAGCAGUACUUGGGCAACCAGAACUCGAGUUUUUGUUGAAUUAAGUUCUAUAAUGGUCCCAAUUUUUGCUUCAUUCAGAUAUCCAAGCUUCUACUGGAUUCAUAUUUCAUUCAUAAUAAACUAAAGAAGAUUCUAAUCAUUGUUUCUGGGUAUAUGUGGAUAGCAUAAUCUGAAAAAUUAGUACAAACAUCAUAAAACAUUAAGUGGAAUGUUGAUAGUAAGUUUAAAAGUUGACCAUUCAGUUAAGGAGACUGGUUGGAAUUUGAAACUGUUAAAAUGACCAGAAGAUAUUCUUCUAGAACCGAUGAUGCUGUGGCUAUCCAUGUUUGGAACUUUCAUCAGAUUCAACCCAAUAAACAUUUCCCAGGCACCUACUACGUGGCACAUGCUGGGACAGAUACUGAAGAUGCAAAGAUGAAAAAGUGUCUCUUCCUGUUGUUGUCAGAAGUUGCUCUGAUUUGAAGCCAUUUGAAGCCUUCUAAGGAAGCCCAGAGGAGGGAAGGAAUGACACUGCGUGAGAGAGUGUCAGCACAAGCAGGGAGAGGGGAAGAGGGAGAAGCAGGCUCCCAGCCGAGCAGGGAACCCGAUGCGGAACUCAAUCCCAGGACCUUGGGAUCAUGACCGGAGACAAAGGGAGACGCUUAAUCGACUGAGCCACCCAGGCACCCCAAGAAGUCUUGUUUUUCUACAGCACUGUGUAAAUGCUAAUGGUUUGCUUUCCACAUGUCACAAAAACCCUGAUUAAUUGUGAUACUUCUAAACUUGGUAUACAGCCUAGCGUAGACAGGGGCAAAAGGAAGCUAGCAUUUUUUAGUAUUUGGCCAUGCCAGUCAAUUGGCAAACAUCAUCUCAUUUGAUCUGCACUGUGAUACUUUGAUGUAUUUAUUGUCCCUAUUCACCAGCCUAGAAAAUCAAUGUUGGGAGUUACUGAACUUGUCCAGAUUAAUUAAGAAGUGGCAGAACCUGGAUCUGAAAGUCUUGUCUGUGCAGAUUCUGAUCCCCAUGCUUGUCCCCACCCCUGCCCAACACACACUGUGCUGUGCAGAGCACAUAGCUGUGCUUAAACUAAAUACCCCACAUCUUUUUCCUCUGGUAACUCCCCCGUGAUGAAGCCACUCCUGAAUUGGUCGUGCUGGCAACACAUAGCUCCAUGGCUGAUUGGGCUGCUCCUGAUCUAAGCUGCACCCGUCAUCUUCCUCCUGAAAUUUGGAAUUGGGAUAUUAAGCAUCUGAGCCUGUGGGAACCAGGCAGAAAGGACAAGCAGAGUCAGGGCCUGAGCCGACAGCCUGGGAAGGAAGCCGCAUUCAGAUGCAGGCUGGAGCAUGGAGGAGCAGCCCCCAUUGGCGGAAGAGGCAGAAGAACGUGAUGUCCUGGGAGGAGAGUGGAGACAACAGGCUCGGAGAGUUGGGACCGUGUGCGCUGAGAGCAAGGUGGGCAAAGGGCUGUCUCAGCCUCCAGUGAACUUCCAGUUUUCAGCGCCAAUUCCAGAGACAUUUUGAUACCCUUAACAAAAAUCUCCCUUUUUAGAAACUAGCUUGUCCUAUAGUCAAAUAGCCUCCAUCAAAGCAGCACACAGUAAAUGUUUCUCUCCUGAGCAGCUUGCUAUGAUACUCUAUUGUUUUUAUUAAUUCUUUGGUCUGUAGGUCGUUCUUGUCAGUUUGGUUCUGGAGCCCUUGCUCUCGUAGGAUGAAUGAAUAAUGUUUUGGAAAUCACUCACCCGAGAAAGGUGGCAAAUAGUGGAGCAGAGGUAUUUGAAAAACAUGAGAGU